GGGUUGUGAGGUUAAGCGACUAAGCGUACACGGUGGAUGCCCUGGCAGUCAGAGGCGAUGAAGGACGUGCUAAUCUGCGAAAAGCGUCGGUAAGGUGAUAUGAACCGUUAUAACCGGCGAUGUCCGAAUGGGGAAACCCAGUGUGAUUCGUCACACUAUCGUUAACUGAAUACAUAGGUUAACGAGGCGAACCGGGGGAACUGAAACAUCUAAGUACCCCGAGGAAAAGAAAUCAACCGAGAUUCCCCCAGUAGCGGCGAGCGAACGGGGAGCAGCCCAGAGUCUGAAUCAGCUUGUGUGUUAGUGGAACGGUCUGGAAAGUCCGACGGUACAGGGUGAUAGUCCCGUACACCAAAAUGCACAGGUUGUGAACUCGAAGAGUAGGGCGGGACACGUGGUAUCCUGUCUGAAUAUGGGGGGACCAUCCUCCAAGGCUAAAUACUCCUGACUGACCGAUAGUGAACCAGUACCGUGAGGGAAAGGCGAAAAGAACCCCGGCGAGGGGAGUGAAAAAGAACCUGAAACCGUGUACGUACAAGCAGUGGGAGCACCUUCGGGUGUGACUGCGUACCUUUUGUAUAAUGGGUCAGCGACUUAUAUUCUGUAGCAAGGUUAACCGUAUAGGGGAGCCGCAGGGAAACCGAGUCUUAACUGGGCGUUAAGUUGCAGGGUAUAGACCCGAAACCCGGUGAUCUAGCCAUGGGCAGGUUGAAGGUUGGGUAACACUAACUGGAGGACCGAACCGACUAAUGUUGAAAAAUUAGCGGAUGACUUGUGGCUGGGGGUGAAAGGCCAAUCAAACCGGGAGAUAGCUGGUUCUCCCCGAAAGCUAUUUAGGUAGCGCCUCGUGAACUCAUCUUCGGGGGUAGAGCACUGUUUCGGCUAGGGGGUCAUCCCGACUUACCAACCCGAUGCAAACUACGAAUACCGAAGAAUGUUAUCACGGGAGACACACGGCGGGUGCUAACGUCCGUCGUGAAGAGGGAAACAACCCAGACCGCCAGCUAAGGUCCCAAAGUCAUGGUUAAGUGGGAAACGAUGUGGGAAGGCACAGACAGCCAGGAUGUUGGCUUAGAAGCAGCCAUCAUUUAAAGAAAGCGUAAUAGCUCACUGGUCGAGUCGGCCUGCGCGGAAGAUGUAACGGGGCUAAACCAUGCACCGAAGCUGCGGCAGCGACACUAUGUGUUGUUGGGUAGGGGAGCGUUCUGUAAGCCUGCGAAGGUGUGCUGUGAGGCAUGCUGGAGGUAUCAGAAGUGCGAAUGCUGACAUAAGUAACGAUAAAGCGGGUGAAAAGCCCGCUCGCCGGAAGACCAAGGGUUCCUGUCCAACGUUAAUCGGGGCAGGGUGAGUCGACCCCUAAGGCGAGGCCGAAAGGCGUAGUCGAUGGGAAACAGGUUAAUAUUCCUGUACUUGGUGUUACUGCGAAGGGGGGACGGAGAAGGCUAUGUUAGCCGGGCGACGGUUGUCCCGGUUUAAGCAUGUAGGCUGGUUAUCCAGGCAAAUCCGGAUAAUCAAGGCUGAGGUGUGAUGACGAGGCACUACGGUGCUGAAGUAACAAAUGCCCUGCUUCCAGGAAAAGCCUCUAAGCAUCAGGUAACAUCAAAUCGUACCCCAAACCGACACAGGUGGUCAGGUAGAGAAUACCAAGGCGCUUGAGAGAACUCGGGUGAAGGAACUAGGCAAAAUGGUGCCGUAACUUCGGGAGAAGGCACGCUGGUGUGUAGGUGAAGCCCCUGCGGGUGGAGCUGAGACCAGUCGAAGAUACCAGCUGGCUGCAACUGUUUAUUAAAAACACAGCACUGUGCAAACACGAAAGUGGACGUAUACGGUGUGACGCCUGCCCGGUGCCGGAAGGUUAAUUGAUGGGGUUAUCCGUAAGGAGAAGCUCUUGAUCGAAGCCCCGGUAAACGGCGGCCGUAACUAUAACGGUCCUAAGGUAGCGAAAUUCCUUGUCGGGUAAGUUCCGACCUGCACGAAUGGCGUAAUGAUGGCCAGGCUGUCUCCACCCGAGACUCAGUGAAAUUGAACUCGCUGUGAAGAUGCAGUGUACCCGCGGCAAGACGGAAAGACCCCGUGAACCUUUACUAUAGCUUGACACUGAACAUUGAGCCUUGAUGUGUAGGAUAGGUGGGAGGCUUUGAAGCGUGGACGCCAGUCUGCGUGGAGCCAACCUUGAAAUACCACCCUUUAAUGUUUGAUGUUCUAACGUUGGCCCCUUACCGGGGUUGCGGACAGUGUCUGGUGGGUAGUUUGACUGGGGCGGUCUCCUCCCAAAGCGUAACGGAGGAGCACGAAGGUUAGCUAAUCCUGGUCGGACAUCAGGAGGUUAGUGCAAUGGCAUAAGCUAGCUUGACUGCGAGCGUGACGGCGCGAGCAGGUGCGAAAGCAGGUCAUAGUGAUCCGGUGGUUCUGAAUGGAAGGGCCAUCGCUCAACGGAUAAAAGGUACUCCGGGGAUAACAGGCUGAUACCGCCCAAGAGUUCAUAUCGACGGCGGUGUUUGGCACCUCGAUGUCGGCUCAUCACAUCCUGGGGCUGAAGUAGGUCCCAAGGGUAUGGCUGUUCGCCAUUUAAAGUGGUACGCGAGCUGGGUUUAGAACGUCGUGAGACAGUUCGGUCCCUAUCUGCCGUGGGCGCUGGAGAAUUGAGGGGGGCUGCUCCUAGUACGAGAGGACCGGAGUGGACGCAUCACUGGUGUUCGGGUUGUCAUGCCAAUGGCACUGCCCGGUAGCUAAAUGCGGAAGAGAUAAGUGCUGAAAGCAUCUAAGCACGAAACUUGCCCCGAGAUGAGUUCUCCCUGAGACUUUAAGUCUCCUGAAGGAACGUUGAAGACGACGACGUUGAUAGGCCGGGUGUGUAAGCGCAGCGAUGCGUUGAGCUAACCGGUACUAAUGAACCGUGAGGCUUAACCUUACAACGCCGAAG
rnacentral:rRNA from 1 species